UGUCUCGUUCGCUCGAGAAUCCCAAGUUUCCUCUUUUUUUGUUUGUAAGUUAAUUGACCGAUGGUUGUUCGUCGUCAUUUUUUAUACGUUGAACCGGGGAGUAAUUAGAAAGGCGUGAAAAGGAUCGAGGAAACAACUGUGAGAGGAAGGAGCAGAAGGAUAGGACCGGACAAAAAAAGUGAAAGAACAAAGAGAAAUGGAGCUUUUUUCGAAAACUUCGUACUACAUGGUCCUCAAGGUGAGAAAAGAAGAGAAACAAACGAGAAACACGGGCGUGCAGAGAGGGGGAGCAGGAGGGAAAAAUGGAACAGAGGAGUGACAGUGUGUCUUCGGUUUAAAUAUUCAGGGAAAACGGGACGGUGAAACGCGACGGUUAUGUUAUAUCUAUAUAUAUAGUAAUCUACGUAAUAAUAUAGCGAGAUCAUAAAAUCAGACGAGAGAAUGGUCGGAAAUCUGAAGAAAAUUCGAAACCACAAUCAGUCAUGGUAAUGUGAAACUGUUAUCUUUUAUAUUCGUACUUACUUCUUCUAUUGCCAUGAAUUUUUUCUUUCGUGUCUUUAUAUUACUUUCCUCCCAUUACUUGAUAUCUUUCUUCGUGCCUUCUUCAUUCUUUUUCUUUUUCCAGAGCUGUGAAGUCGAAAUUAGAAUCGCAAAAAUAACGACUCUGUUCUUUUUUUUUUCUUGCUAUGUUUUUUACAGCUAUAUCUUUCCUUCUUUAUAUUUCUCUCUUAUUAUUUUUUUUUUUUAAUUUUCUUUUAUUACUUUUAUAUUUUAUAUCAUUUAAUCUUGUAUUAUAAAAUUCAUAAAAUUUAUUGAUUCAACAAAAUUUAAGAGCAUAUCAUAACUCGAUAAAAAGCUUAUGUCUCAAGUGUUACAAUAAUUAAUAUAUCAAAGAUUAUGAAUUUGCAACAAUCUAAAUUACAAUUUAUAAUACUUGAAACAUAAACUUUCGAUCAACUUAUUAUUAUACCUCUAUUAUAAUUAAAAUAAAGCUUUUAUUUUUAAUAUAUGUGCACACAUAAAAUGUUUUUUCUUUAUAUACGAAAAUUCCUCCCCUAAUAUCUGUCGUUCUUUUAUUAUUGAAAUUCCCUCUCUCUUAAAAGGGAAGAUAGUCCCUCGUUACUAAAAUUCUUUCCAAAAUUCCUUACAAUGGAAUUCCUUUCUGGAAUACAGAAAUUUGUCAAGGUCUUAAUCUGAUGGAUUAUUUGAUACCAAUGAUUUGGAAUUAACAUUUUUCACAGAAUUAAUCUAGCAAGAAGAAGUCUUUGGAAGAAAAUUUCUAAAAGUGUGAAUGAUAAUCAAGUAAUUGACUAAAGUAAUUUAAGAGAGAGAGAUUAUUAAUGAUAUUAGUAGAUGGAUGUUCUUUCU